GCCUUUGUGGGCAAAUGGUUAAGCCGACUCAAUGAAACGAGUAGAUGCGGGUUCGACUCCCGUCAAAGGUA
rnacentral:tRNA from 1 species